rnacentral:tmRNA from 1 species
GGGGAUGUCUUGGGUUCGAUGAUAAGAUUCUUUUUAAGCAUUCAAGACGUGCUGAGUAAUCACGUAAAACUUAUUCAAAAAAUAAGUGCAAAAAACACUUUAAAGAAGGCUGCUUUCUCAUGGAAAGUUCCAGCUUUCGCUCCUGUUGUAGCUUAAUAAAAUAGCUCAACCAUCGGCCUGGUAACUCCUUAUAGCCAAUCGCCGGUGUCAUUUAUAAGGAUAGAAUUUUUGGGUAUCUUUCUCUAAAAAUUCGAAGAAAAAGAAAGAUAAGCGUUAUUUCGUUUCGCUCAAUUUUAGAAGUAAUGCCGAAAAAAUAACAAUUGGGCUACUCUUGUAGUGGUGUUUAAAAAAACUUGUUAGACACGGGUUCAAUUCCCGUCAUCUCCACAU